GAUGCUAAAUGGAUAUUAUCUGUAUUGACAACUAAACACUUUAUUUCAGGAUUUUAACACGUUCUGUUCAUCCGUAUCAUCUUAAAUCUCCCGUAGCUGUGUUCCCCAGAGUAAAAAUAAAGCAGUAAUUUGUUUCCCCCCACUCGCGGCCCUCUGCCUGUUCUCUCCUGCUUGCCAUCAGUUCAUCGGUGCUGUCACUGAGUUAUGAAUGCGUUGGCAUCCACAGCUCCAGAGCAUGGUAACAUCUCAGAGGCCAUCAUCCAAGAUGGAAAGUUAGUCUUCAAGCUGCAGAACUGCUCUCCAGGUGGUUGGGGCUGGUUUGUGAGGGCUUUUUAAUUGUUUUUUACUUGGUAGCAGUUUGUUCCUUGUGUUAGGUGCUGUUAAAGCUUGGGCAGAAAAGGACUCUAAAUACCAAUAUAGGUGGGAGGAGGACAGCGAGGAGAUCAUGUCCUGCAGUGCUGCCCUUAAGGAAAACAUUCUCAAAGGGGGGAAGAAAGAGAUUAUUGUUUUAUCGUAUAAGCUCUAUGGUUAAAGUUGUAUCUCUGCUUAUAGAACACAGAUCUGCUUCACAAAAAGUGCUAUCUGAAGAGGUCUGUUGACUGGAGGAGAGCCAUCCAGCUGCAACGAGCAAUACAUUCUGUGGUCAGUAUGAGGUUAACAGUAAGAGUGGAGAAAAAAGCUUUGUGUCGUGUACCAGCAGCAGUAGCGUAUGGUUCUGUGUCAGAAUCUCAUGGUAAAGACUGGCAGUUGGUAGAAGUAAUAAAGCUGUGCAACCACAGAAUGCGGAGUGCAGAUGAGCCAUGGGAAACCUCCAGGGCUGACACUCCUGACAGCCAAGCGUGGCGUCGGCCCCGUUUGCUGCUCAGGGUGUGUGCCCUGCUGAGAGAGACGGCUUCUUUGGGCAGAGAAACAAAGGAGGGAGUAAGAAACUGGGAAUGUGGGUGUCUCAGCCAUAAUGGCAGCAGCUGAGGGCAAAUUACCACUGAAAUCUGAUGCUGAAUUGACAGAUAAGGUAAAACCUAGUGAGAAAGUGGUCAGAUUUGCUUCUAUUUCUUAAUUAGACCAAAAUCAUGUUUGAGUGGGUGGGGUUUGAGGCCAUAAGAUUUGAGAAGGAUGUGCUGGGAGCGUGCACUGAAAGCAGUGUGUCUGGAGCACGGGGGCAGUUGGCUUAACCCUUACACAGAUGCGUGUAGGUUUAAAGGAAGCACCUUGAAAAAAGUCCUGCGGUGCUGCAGGAUUUGAACCAACACGUUGCAUUUUCCCCCCUGAGAUCCAGCUUUGGCCGGAGCUUCUGAACGUCGUCAUUCUUAGGGCAUAACUCCACAGGGCAUCUGCGGGGGAGCAGUUCUCCUACGUUUGAUUGGCACCGUUAAGGAUAAAGAGGCACUUCUGCUGGCGUUUCUCUACACCACUCCACACCUCUAAAAGUCCAAUGUGACAGAAUGCAAAGGUGCGUAAAGUUCAAGAUAACCGUGUAUGGGUUUUUGUAUUGCUUAUCCUAAAGUCAGACGUAUGCCAACCUCAAAGACUUCGCCCUGCGGCGCAGUACUGUGCAGACUGUUCUCCACUGAGCAGACAGUACCUGAGUGUGCCAACCAUUCUCACACAAAGCAGCAGAACUUUGAGUGCUCAGCAAUAGGGCAGUGUUUAGAAAGGCUUACAUUCGUGUGAAUGAACUGUAGAACGUGAUGAAUUCUGUACUGAGGUUUGCUUUGCUUGUUUGUUAGUUUACUUUUGGUAAAAGAUGUGAAAUAAAUGGAGCUGACUG
ensembl:lncRNA